rnacentral:rRNA from 1 species
UACGAAGGUCCCAAGCGUUAUCCGGAUUUAUUGGGUUUAAAGGGUGCGUAGGCGGGUUAUUAAGUCAGUGGUGAAAGCCUACAGCUUAACUGUAGAACUGCCAUUGAUACUGAUGAUCUUGAGUACGAUUGAGGUAGGCGGAAUGUGUCAUGUAGCGGUGAAAUGCUUAGAUAUGACACAGAACACCGAUUGCGAAGGCAGCCUACUAAGUCGUAACUGACGCUGAUGCACGAAAGCGUGGGGAGCAAACAGG